GACGUAGGGGGCCAGCGUUGUUCGGAAUUACUGGGUGUAAAGGGUUCGUAGGCGGUGUGGCAAGUCGGGAGUGAAAUCUCUGGGCUCAACCCAGAGACUGCUUCCGAAACUGCUGUGCUUGAGUGUGAGAGAGGCUCGUGGAAUUGCAGGUGUAGCGGUGAAAUGCGUAGAUAUCUGCAGGAACACCCGUGGCGAAAGCGGCGAGCUGGAUCACUACUGACGCUGAUGCGCGAAAGCGUGGGGAGCGAACAGG
rnacentral:rRNA from 1 species